UCACCAGGUUGCCGCAAGGCCUCCUGGGUAACCUACCACCCUUUGUUUAUUACACUUUGUUGCUUUGGCAAGCCUGCCCUCGGGCUGCUGGCUCCGGCCGGCGAGCGCUUGCCAGAGGACCUAAACUCUGUUUGUCUAUACUGUCUGAGUACUAUAUAAUAGUUAAAACUUUCAACAACGGAUCUCUUGGUUCUGGCAUCGAUGAAGAACGCAGCGAAAUGCGAUAAGUAAUGUGAAUUGCAGAAUUCAGUGAAUCAUCGAAUCUUUGAACGCACAUUGCGCCCCCUGGUAUUCCGGGGGGCAUGCCUGUCCGAGCGUCAUUACAACCCUCAAGCUCAGCUUGGUAUUGGGCCCCGCCGACCCGGCGGGCCCUAAAGUCAGUGGCGGUGCCGUCCGGCUCCGAGCGUAGUAAUUCUUCUCGCUCUGGAGGUCCGGUCGUGUGCUCGCCAGCAACCCCCAAUUUUUUCCAGGUUGACCUCGGAUCAGGUAGGGAUACCCGCUGAACUUAAGCAUAUCAAUAAGGGGGAGGAAA
rnacentral:rRNA from 1 species